AACGUAGGAGGCGAGCGUUAUCCGGAUUUACUGGGCGUAAAGCGCACGCAGGCGGCUCCGUUAGUCGGACGUGAAAGUUCCUGGCUUAACUGGGAGAGGCCGUUCGAUACUGCGGGGCUUGAGGUUGGGAGAGGGGUGUGGAAUUCCCGGUGUAGUGGUGGAAUGCGUAGAGAUCGGGAGGAACACCUGUGGCGAAAGCGGCACCCUGGCCCACACCUGACGCUGAGGUGCGAAAGCGUGGGUAGCAAACAGG
rnacentral:rRNA from 1 species